GAUGAACGCUGGCGGCGUGCCUAAUACAUGCAAGUCGAGCGAACGGACGAGAAGCUUGCUUUUCUGAUGUUAGCGGCGGACGGGUGAGUAACACGUGGAUAACCUACCUAUAAGACUGGGAUAACUUCGGGAAACCGGAGCUAAUACCGGAUAAUAUUUUGAACCGCAUGGUUUAAAAGUGAAAGACGGUCUUGCUGUCACUUAUAGAUGGAUCCGCGCUGCAUUAGCUAGUUGGUAAGGUAACGGUUUACCAAGGCAACGAUGCAUAGCCGACCUGAGAGGGUGAUCGGCCACACUGGAACUGAGACACGGUCCAGACUCCUACGGGAGGCAGCAGUAGGGAAUCUUCCGCAAAGGGCGAAAGCCUGACGGAGCAACGCCGUGUGAGUGAUGAAGGUCUUCGGAUCGUAAAACUCUGUUAUUAGGGAAGAACAUAUGUGUAAGUAACUGUGCACAUCUUGACGGUACCUAAUCAGAAAGCCACGGCUAACUACGUG
rnacentral:rRNA from 1 species